GGUGAAGAGACUUGGAGGUUCUCAAUUUUGGGAACUUGGAGAAACCUAUUCUUCCAUCCAAAUCCAUAGAUUUAAGAUGCAAGGAAUGAAGGCCCUCUCUUUGGGUGAUUAGCCUUUGCUUAUGCAAAGAGGAAGUUACAAAGGUAUAAAUUUCAACUUACUAUGUUUUGAGUUGAGUUUUGGUUCACCAAUCUACUAGGCUUUGAAUUUCAUGGUUAAUGUUUUGUUUUUAAGUGCAUGCAAGCAUGAUUCCGUCUUUAAUUGUUAAUUGCAUGCUUAAUGAUGUUGCUUAAAUGAACAUGUUUUCACAAAAUAUUCCUUCAAUUGGCACUCCAAAAUUCUCAUUCUACACUCCAAACUUUCUAUAUUUAGAAAGAAAAAUACACUUAUGAGGAGUGUAGAAUGAGAUUUUUG
rnacentral:lncRNA from 1 species